CCUACGGGAUGCAGCAGUGGGGAAUAUUGCACAAUGGGCGCAAGCCUGAUCCAGCCAUGCCGCGUGAGUGAAGAAGGCCCUAGGGUUGUAAAGCUCUUUCACCGGUGAAGAUAAUGACGGUAACCGGAGAAGAGGCCCCGGCUAACUUCGUGCCAGCAGCCGCGGCAAUACGAAGGGGGCUAGCGUUGUUCGGAAUUACUGGGCGUAAAGCGCGCGUAGGCGGAAAGAUAAGUCAGAGGUGAAAUCCCGGGGCUCAACCCCGGAAUUGCCUUUGAUACUGUUUAUCUUGAGUGUAGAAGAGGUAAGUGGAAUUCCGAGUGUAGAGGUGAAAUUCGUAGAUAUUCGGAGGAACACCAGUGGCGAAGGCGGCUUACUGGUCUGCAACUGACGCUGAGGCGCGAAAGCGUGGGGAGCAAACAGGAUUAGAUACCCCGGUAGUC
rnacentral:rRNA from 1 species